rnacentral:rRNA from 1 species
AUUAGAUACCCUGGUAGUCCACGCAGUAAACGAUGAAUACUAACUGUCCGGGACGAUUGAGUCCUGGGUGGUACAGCGAAAGCGUUAAGUAUUCCACCUGGGGAGUACGCCGGCAACGGUGAAACUCAAAGGAAUUGACGGGGGCCCGCACAAGCGGAGGAACAUGUGGUUUAAUUCGAUGAUACGCGAGGAACCUUACCCGGGCUCAAACGACGGACGAAUGUUUUUGAAAGGAGGCAGUCCUUCGGGGCGUCCGUCGAGGUGCUGCAUGGUUGUCGUCAGCUCGUGCCGUGAGGUGUCGGCUUAAGUGCCAUAACGAGCGCAACCCCCAUCGCCAGUUACCAUCAAGUGAAGUUGGGGACUCUGGCGAGACUGCCGGCGCAAGCUGCGAGGAAGGCGGGGAUGACGUCAAAUCAGCACGGCCCUUACGUCCGGGGCGACACACGUGUUACAAUGGCAGGCACAGAGAGAAGCGACAUGGCGACAUGAAGCGGAACUGUCAAAACCUGUCUCAGUUCGGAUUGGAGUCUGCAACCCGACUCCAUGAAGCUGGAUUCGCUAGUAAUCGCGCAUCAGCCACGGCGCGGUGAAUACGUUCCCGGGCCUUGUACACACCGCCCGUCAAGCCAUGGAAGCCGGGAGUGCCUGAAGUGUGCAACCGCAAGGAGCGCCCUAAGGUAAAACCGGUGACUGGGGCUAAGUCGUAACAAGGUAAC